GACGAACGCUGGCGGCGUGCCUAAUACAUGCAAGUCGAACGCAGUGGGGACGGGGGAGUAACACGUGGCUAAUCCCCCAUCAGAGGGGAUAACACUUGGAAACAGGUGCUAAACCGAUACUGAUGGAUGAACCCGCGGUGCAUUAGCCAGUCGGUGAGGUAACGGCUCACCAAGGCCACGAUGCAUAGCCGACCGGCGAGGAUGAUCGGCCACACUGGGACUGAGACACGGCCCAGACUCCUACGGGAGGCAGCAGUAGGGAAUCUUCUGCAAUGGACGAAAGUCUGACCGAGCAACGCCGCGUGAGUGAAGAAGGUUUUCGGAUCGUAAAACUCUUUUGUUAGAGAAGCGGUAUCUAACCAGAAAGCCACGGCUAACUACGUGCCAGCAGCCGCGGUAAUAC
rnacentral:rRNA from 1 species